AUUGAACGCUGGCGGCAGGCCUAACACAUGCAAGUCGAGCGAGCGGCGGACGGGUGAGUAAUGUAUGGGGACUGCCCGCUCGUGGGGGAUAACUACUGGAAACGGUUGCUAAUACCGCAUUCUAUCGGAUAAGCUAUGUGGGAUUAGCUAGGGGGUGGGGUAAAGGCUCACUUAGGCGACGAUGUCUAGCUGGGUUGAAGGGAUGAUGAGACACACUGGGACGGGGACACGGCCCAAACGCCUAGGGAGGAAGCAGUGGGGAAUAUUGCGCAAUGGGCGAAAGCCUGAUGAAGACAUGCCGCGGGGAGGAAGAAGGCCUUAGGGUUGUAAAGUACUUUAAGCGGGGAGGCGGUACCCGAAGAAGAAGCACCGGCUAACUACGUGCCAGCAGCCGCGGUAAUAC
rnacentral:rRNA from 1 species